UGCAUCGGCCGGGAAUCGAACCCGGGGCGGCAGGCGAGCAUUCUACCACUGAACCAAAAGC
rnacentral:tRNA from 1 species